rnacentral:rRNA from 1 species
CGAUGAUCCCCAGCUUGCUGGGGGGAUUAGUGGCGAACGGGUGAGUAACACGUGAGUAACCUGCCCUUGACUCUGGGAUAAGCCUGGGAAACUGGGUCUAAUACUGGAUACGACCUUCUGGCGCAUGCCAUGUGGGUGGAAAGCUUUUGUGGUUUUGGAUGGACUCGCGGCCUAUCAGCUUGUUGGUGGGGUAAUGGCCUACCAAGGCGACGACGGGUAGCCGGCCUGAGAGGGUGGACGGCCACACUGGGACUGAGACACGGCCCAGACUCCUACGGGAGGCAGCAGUGGGGAAUAUUGCACAAUGGGCGCAAGCCUGAUGCAGCGACGCCGCGUGAGGGAUGAAGGCCUUCGGGUUGUAAACCUCUUUCAGUAGGGAAGAAGCGAAAGUGACGGUACCUGCAGAAGAAGCGCCGGCUAACUACGUGCCAGCAGCCGCGGUAAUACGUAGGGCGCAAGCGUUAUCCGGAAUUAUUGGGCGUAAAGAGCUCGUAGGCGGUUUGUCGCGUCUGCCGUGAAAGUCCGGGGCUUAACUCCGGAUCUGCGGUGGGUACGGGCAGACUUGAGUGAUGUAGGGGAGACUGGAAUUCCUGGUGUAGCGGUGAAAUGCGCAGAUAUCAGGAGGAACACCGAUGGCGAAGGCAGGUCUCUGGGCAUUAACUGACGCUGAGGAGCGAAAGCAUGGGGAGCGAACAGGAUUAGAUACCCUGGUAGUCCAUGCCGUAAACGUUGGGCACUAGGUGUGGGGGA